rnacentral:lncRNA from 1 species
ACUCGAAGCAAGGAUUUUUUUUUAAACGAGAAAAUCCACGAGUAAGAAAACACCAAGUUGCAUAACCAUUCUCCUCCCUCACACCUAAACAUUACAUUGUCCUCAAUGUAUGAAAGUAAAUAGAAAGGAAAAAUAAGAGGACUUCCUUGACAAAGGAGAGCAAGUGUUGUCAAGCUCUAAGUGUGAGAGGGAGUAAGAGGUGUGAAUCCAACCGAGGUGAAGAAAGCAUCCAAGUUCCGUUCCAUCCGAGACAUUUGCUGCUCAAUCUUGGAGAGGCGAUUAUCCAACUACUGAAAUUGAUCAUCAAAAGAAGAAGAAGUUGGCGCUACAGUUGAGGAGUCAAUUCCAUCUACAACUCGAGCAGUACGGGAAGAAAUGAUAGGCUUAGGACCCUACCUAACCAUGAGUCUAAUCUCUCUCGGUGGUGUAAACUGAUAACAAUCAUCUUUAUACUCAAUGACCCCCAUCCUCGCUAAACAAACCAAAUCCAAAGGUUCUGACUAGCAAGCAACAUGUAAAUCUUUAUCUUCAUCAAGGUUUAGCACACCAAGUUGGAUAGCCAAAUUAGUGAUAAGGGAACAUAAAAUGAUUGGCUUAUUUUUCUUUGUGAGCAUCAUUUGAAAUUGUGUCGCUACCCAAAAAUCAAAAUUUACUUUGACAUUGUUCAACAUACACCAAAUAAAAUAAAAUUCAGCUUUUUUCAUAGUUCCCAAAGCAUCCUUCCUGUUAGAAAAAAUUAAAGGGCAAAAAACCUUUGAAUAUAUUUCAAAAUCGGGUCUUUAAAAUAAGAAGUCUUAGAUUGACUAGGGUCAUAGCUAAACUUAUCAAUUGACAUCUCUUUCCAAAUCCUGACAUAAUAAGAAGCAAAGUGUUCAAUAUAGUCACAAACACUCGCUAGACAUUCCCUAGAUUUAACUAAAUGUUCAUCAAUGAAACCUAAGUAGUAAUUAAACUCAGUAAUUGAGUGACUCAAAUCAACCCCGAAUAACCUAAAACUAGCCACAUUUGGAGUAUCUAAUGAAAAGUUGUCCGAUUUCACAAAUUUGGAAGUACUAUAAAAUUUCCAGUACAAUUCAAGCAAAGUGGGAUAAUUAAGUGUCAAAUAGUGCUGCCACUAAAUUGCUAUAAAUAAUCUUUUCACCUCAGUCAAAAUAUUUAAUUGUCCCAAUGUAGGAGUAUGAAUGUACUUACAAGAAGCAAAUGUUUGAGACUUCAAAAUGUGUAAUGUAUCUAUUUGUUCCUUGGUGAGUUGAGUAAGUUCACCCCCUAAUUCGGAAGUAGAAUGUGGUAAUACUCCCUUGAUGAUGCCAAUCUCGAUUGCUUCUUAGGCUCUGUUGGGACUCCUCAUUUCUUAUUCAGUUCUAGAAUCGAUUGGAGAGUCUUGGGUUUGAAGCUUGGUUCCUCUUGUUUUGGCCAUUGUCAAAUUUGUCCUACAAAAUAAGAAAAGGUUAUCAAUGAAAAAAAUUGUUUAAUUAUAAUUGCUGAUAGUUUCUUCAAAGAUGUUGGGAUUGAGUUCCAUUAAACAAAUAGCAAUGUAAACCUGUGAAGCACAAAUGGUGACUAAUAAUUGACAAUAUGCAAAGCAACAAGUUAAGCAACUUCCAACAAAUUUGAGAACAAACUUCAAGAGCAAAUAAGUUAGGCAACUUCAAACGGUGGCCACUGAAAAAACUAAUUGCAUUCAAUUUCUUGGUUUCUAGCCGACAACAACCUUGACAAUAGCCUUGAGAAUCAGUGGUAACGUCGAAUGCCAGCAAGCCAACACCAAAUGACAACGAACGGAGAUGGAGAUGACGAAGAUUUUGCUGAAUAGAUGACAACUCCAAGCAACUGGGAAGCAACGAUAUUUGAUGGUUAUUUCCCCAAAACUUGAAGUUUCAAUUAAAGCUUGUGAGCCACUGCAAUCUUUACGAACAACCUGAGUUUUUUGUGGCUUUAAAAAGAGAAAGAAGAAAAAUAGUAUUCACAAUGGAAAAGGAUUAUGAACCAAAAAGGAAUUGUUUCUUGUUUCUUUUUUUUUUAAUGGAAGAAAAGGAUUCUAAUAGCUGCAAAGAACAAAAUCGAAAGAAAAGUAUUCAGAUAGCUACUAAGAAGACCAAAGUAAAAAAGGACGUUUUUUUUUGGUAUUUGAGUGCUAGGUAGAAAACUUCAUCUUGUAACACUUGGGGCAUGAUUUUGAAAUUUAGUCUUCCGAUUGUCGUGCCCCAUUUUUCGCGAUGAAAAUAAGUAUUUACAAAAGAUGUGAUUUUAUUUAAAAAUAAAUGAAAAAGGAUCUAGAAUGGGACUUUAAAGAAUGCGACAGUUUGGGUUCAAAAUUUAGUCUAAAAGGAUUUUUAAGAAAAAAAAGGACUCGUCACUUGGUAUUGAGUUUGGGUGUACCAAGUCACCAAAAAAUAUUUUUGAUAAAAAUGAAAUAAAAUAAAACCCUUUUUGACAACUCCAAAACUUUGAAAAACAAGAGAAAAUGAUUUUAGGAGUCACGGUUGAAGAAAAGAAAGGCAAAUGCUCGAUUAAUUCAAACUUAAGGCACCCUCUCAACCUAGUCUAAACUAGUUGCGAGAUUUAGUCAAAAAUUUUCCUAAUCUAACCCUUAAAUUUAUCACGUUUGAAUGUUUCCUACAUAAAUGCAAAUCUAAAUUUAUAAAAACGUCGAGAGGGACAAAAUGUCCAUUCAAGAGUUUAAUUAAUACCAAUCGCAUUAAUUGCAAAGGUCAAAAUAAUUCCUUAAAUGGGUCACGAGUAUGCGAAUGAUGAAAUUAAAAAAAAAGUUAAAUUAUAUAUAUAUAAAUAUAAGUGGCCAAAGAAUAGGGAAUGCAACAUAAUGGGUAUGAAAGGCAAAAACUCAUGACAUAAUUUUCUUAUAUAGGGAUUAAUGGGGUAUUUGAACUAAAAAGUUAUAAUUACCCAUUUCUCAUGUUUGAAGAAUAAUUCUUCUAACAUGAACAAGCAAAUGAACUAACUUAUUUUACAAUUUCUUAAAUAAGGUGCAAUCCUAAAUGACAUGAGACACAUAUACAGGGUAGGUGAUAAUAUAAUAAAAAAUAUCAUGCAAAUGAGAAAAUAUUCUAAAAUAAAAAUAUGCAUGAAAAUGUAAUGAAUGCCACACAAAAAUGAAUCUGACGCACGAACGAUCUAAGAGUCUAGCAUUGGACUAACCUAUUUCUAAAAAUCUUUACUAGCGUUGGACUAGCAAGUAAACGGAGGGAGAAGCCACAACUAGCGUUGAACUAGUGUGGUGAUGUCAUGUAUUCUUAAUACAUAGUAAGACAAACAAGGCAUAAAUUAAAACAAAUAAACAUGUAAGAGCGCGUAGCACAUAACUCAUAAAUAUAAUAUUUAUAUGCAAAAAUCCUAACAAAAGUGAAUAAAGCACAUAACACAUAAGCCACAUAACACGCAAAAACCUAUUUAUUACAGUGGGGAAUCUAACUACAAUCUAAAAUGGAGAAAUAAAAAAUCCUAUCUACCCUAUCUAUUACAAUAGGGGACCUAAUUACAAUCUAAAAUGAAAAAUAUAAUAAAACAAAUCUAGGUAUCCUAUCUAUUAUAUUUUUGAGGUAUUUAAAUGCCUCUCAAAUAAUUAUAAAAAUUAACUAAACAAAUAUAAAAAAUUUUGAAUGAACAUUUAAAUCAAAUAAAUAAAGCAUAUACAAAUAUUUAAACACAUAGGAACACGUAGGAGCACGUAAGAGCACGUAAUUGACAUUAAAAUACUAAUAAUAGGGGUACCUCUCUUUUGAAGUGGUGACUAAAUGGAGUCAAAUUGCCCUAUUUAUACUCAAAAUAAACAAAAGAAUCAUGACACUAAUUUAAUUGAAAAAUAAUAAUAAUGAUAAAAAUACUAAAUUCACUUUAAUAUGUCAAAUGUAAAGAAAUUUAAGAACAUAUAAAAAUUACAAGUUAAAUAUAUUCAAAAGUAACAUAAUUAGCUAUUAAAGAAAAAAAACAAUCAUAAUAAAAAGAGUUAAAAUUCACUAGGGACUAAAUUGCAAAAGUAAAAAACUUUUAGGGCCAAAAAUAUAAGUUUUCUAAAGUUUAGGGGUCAAAAUUAAAUAAAUGAUAAAGUUUAGGGAGCAAAGCACAAUUAUUUUAAGGGUCUAAGUGAAAGAUAUUUAAAAUUUUCUAGGUCAUAAUAAAAUUACUCCAAAAAUCAGGGGCUAAAGUGAAAAUUUUGGUUUCUGAUUUGGGCAAAGAAAAGCCAUCAGGCCUUUCUUUUAUUUUUGCUUGGGCCGGAACCAUCUGGCCCGGAAGAAACAGGUGGGCUAUUUUUAAUGAAAAUAAACACAAGCCCAGAUGAAAAAACCCUAAAGAAAGAAGACCCUAACCCAACCGAAAUUAAAGAAAAUGGCCCAUCAAACAAUAAACAUUUGCCCAAUUCUUUUUCCUUCUUUUUCUUUUCUUUCCUUUCUUUUCUUUUCUUUCCUUCUCCUUCUCUUUUCUUCUUCUUUUUCCUUCUUCUUCCACCCGAGAAGCUAAAGCUUACUUCCUGCUAGCGGCUAUGGCCGCCUGCGGUGGCACCACCGCCAGAUGCAGGCAAAUUUUUCGGUCACCAAAUUUUCUCAAAAUGCACUCUCUCACUCGAUUUUUCAUGUAGAUUCCAUUUUUUAAGUUAGUUUUUACAAAAAAAAUUACCCGAAAGUGACCAAAAUACUAAGAAAUCAAUCCAAUUUUUUUUUAAACACUCAAAUCUUCACCAAAAAUCACAUAAUUUAUACUACAACACUCAUUGUGAUUUUUACAACAUAACUAUGAACUGAAAUCAAUAAAAGUAACAACACAUAUGACAAAAUUAAAUCAAAACAAUCCAAAAAAUAAAAUAAAAAAUCCUUCAAUGCUUUUAAGGCUCAAAAUCUCUAAAACUUUGGACAACCAAACAUUUUCGGACCUACACUAGCGAAUGGUCAUCUAUUUUGACAAAAAAACAUGCACAAUGUUCAGCUUUUUAAUUCGUUUUUCCUUUUUGGCAUUUUAUCAAACAUGUAGCAUGCAUACACAAAAGCUAUUUCUCUUUCUUUAAUCUUACUUGUAACUUAACCUCAAUAUUUAACAACACAACAGCAACAAUAAAACCCAACAAAAGCAAGAGAAACUAGGCAAUCAACAUGAAUUUAAUUUGCUAAAAAAAAUUGAGAGAUACCUCACCGAAAGUGGAGUUUCUUGAUUAAAAUGUUUUGAUGAAAUUCCAAACCUCCAACUGUCCAAUGGCUUGCUUUCUUUUGUGUUUGACUUGUCGGUGGGUGUGUGAAAUUGAGAGGGGGAAAGGGAGAGGAGAACCG